CCAUCGGUUCUCGUGCGAUCACCAAAGUUAAGCAACGCCGAGCCUGGUCAACACUUAGAUGGUUGACCUCUUGAGAGUAUGAGGUGCUGCAA